rnacentral:rRNA from 1 species
CGACCGGCGUCACGGGUGAGUAACACGUAUGCAACCUGGCCGUCACAGGUGGAUAACCGGAAGAAAUUCCGACUAAUACAGCAUAACACUCCUGAGGGACAUCCUUCGGGAGUCAAAGGAGGCAACUCCGGUGACGGAUGGGCAUGCGGCGCAUUAGGUAGUUGGUAGGGUAACGGCCUACCAAGCCGACGAUGCGUAGGGGUUCUGAGAGGAAGGUCCCCCACAUUGGAACUGAGACACGGUCCAAACUCCUACGGGAGGCAGCAG